CCUACGGGUGGCAGCAGUGAGGAAUAUUGGUCAAUGGGCGCGAGCCUGAACCAGCCAAGUAGCGUGAAGGAUGACUGCCCUACGGGUUGUAAACUUCUUUUAUAAAGGAAUAAAGUGAGGCACGUGUGCCUUUUUGUAUGUACUUUAUGAAUAAGGAUCGGCUAACUCCGUGCCAGCAGCCGCGGUAAUACGGAGGAUCCGAGCGUUAUCCGGAUUUAUUGGGUUUAAAGGGUGCGUAGAUGGGUUGUUAAGUCAGUUGGGAAAGUUUGCGGCUCAAACGUAAGAUUGCAAUUGAUACUGGCAGCCUUGAGUACAACUGAGGCAGGCGGAAUUCGUUGUGUAGCGGUGAAAUGCGUAGAUAUAACGAAGAACUCCGAUUGCGAAGGCAGCGUACUAAACUGCCAAUGACAUUGAGGCUCGAAAGUGUGGGUAGCAAACAGGAUUAGAUACCCUAGUAGUC
rnacentral:rRNA from 1 species